UGUAUCUCUCUAUACAUGAUGCACUGUUUUCUCUCACUCGAAAUCCUGUUUAUAUGAAUACUUGUUAUUUUUUGUUAUUUAUUCUUUUGCAGACAAACCAAAAUCCAAAGAAACAAAGGCAGUAAAACCAAAGGAAGUAAAGCCUACCAUUCCCCAGAAGCAGAAAGGUAAAUAUCACCUUAUAUUGUAUGUUAGUGAUAAUAUCAGAUCUGUAUAUUUGCUUUCUUUCUCUGUUAACUUAAAAUUACACUGUUCCCUUCCAGAAU
rnacentral:lncRNA from 1 species